UUAAGCAUAUCAAUAAGCGGAGGAAAAGAAAAUAACUAUGAUUCCCUUAGUAACGGCGAGUGAACAGGGAAAAGCCCAAAUUUGUAAUCUGGCAUUGUUUACCAAUGUCCGAGUUGUAAUUUGUAGAACUGUUAUCCGUGCUGGACCAUGUACAAGUCUGUUGAAAAACAGCAUCAUUGAAGGUGAAAAUCCUGUAAAUGAUAUGGACUACCAGUGCAUUUGUGAUACGGUUUCUAAGAGUCGAGUUGUUUGGGAAUGCAGCUCAAAGUGGGUGGUAAAUUCCAUCUAAGGCUAAAUAUAAGUGAGAGACCGAUAGCAAACAAGUACCGUGAGGGAAAGAUGAAAAGAACUUUGAAAAUAGAGUUAACAGUACGUGAAAUUGCUGAAAGGGAAACGUUUGAAGUUAGUAUUGUAUUCGUUGGAUCAGCUUCGCAAGAGGUCUAUUCCGAUGAUAAGCAAGUCAACAUCAGUCUAUGAGUGUUGGAAAAAGGGCUCGAGAAUGUAGCAAUUUAAUUGUGUUAUAGCUUGGGACUUUGAAUACAACGCUCUUGAUUGAGGAACGCGUAGUAAGCUUUGAGCGGGUUCGAAAGAGCCUCCUUACUAUGGAUGUUGGUGAAAUAACUUUAAGCGACCCGUCUUGAAACACGGACCAAGGAGUCUAACAUGCUUGCGAGUAUUAGGGCGUUGAAACCCGAAUGCGUAAUGAAAGUGAUUUCAGAUGUGAUCCGCAAGGUGCAACAUCGGCCGGUCCUGAUUAUUUAUAUGACGGUACUGAGCAAGAGCAAGUAUGUUAGGACCCGAAAGAUGGUGAACUAUGCCUGGAUAGGGUGAAGUCAGAGGAAACUCUGAUGGA
rnacentral:rRNA from 1 species